GGAGAGGUGGCUCUAUGGUUAAGAGCACUGGCUGUGCUUGCAGAGGACCUGGGUUUGAAUCCCAGCCCCA
rnacentral:tRNA from 1 species